CUCACUUCCUAUCUCAGCAGAAAAUGCCCUCUCUCUUACUUGAAACUUCUUGGCUCGCACUUCUUAUUUAGAUAUCUGGGUUGGAAUGGAUGCUCUGAGUUCCUCCACUCUGUGCCAUGUCUUCCUUGGAAUAGAUAAUUGUGACUUUGAAUUCCAACCUAAGGAAGUCUUGCCCACUAUGCAAACUACUUAUUCAAAGGCAGAUGUGGUCAGACUUACAGCAAAAAGUGGAUGCUCCAGGCCUUUUCAUCUUUGACAAUAAAAUAGGAGUGAUGGAGACA
rnacentral:lncRNA from 1 species